rnacentral:lncRNA from 1 species
GGGGUCAAUUGACUAUUUUGGUCAUCUGACUUAUUUUUAGUUCUUACUUUGCUGUACAUUAUUGCUGUUUACAGUUUAUCUCUAUCUAUAAUAAUAUUCAAGAUAAUAACAAAAAAACAGCAAAAUUUCCUCAAAAUUACCAAUUCAGGGGCAGCAACCUAACAACCGAUUAUCCGAUUCAUCAGAAAAUUCCAGGGCAGAUAGAUCGUGACCUGAUCAACAAUUUUACUUCCUGUCAGAUUUACUCUAAAUGCUUUGGUUUUUGAGUUAUAAGCCAAAAACUGCAUUUUACCCCUAUGUUCUUUUUUAGCCAUGGCGCCAUCUUGGUUGGUUGGCCGGGUCACCGGACACAUUUUUUAAACUAAAUACCCUAAUGAUGAUUGUGGCCAAGUUUGGUUAAAUUUGGCCCAGUAGUUUCAGAGGAGAAGAUUUUUGUAAAAGUUAACGCAGGACGACGACGACGACGGACGACGACAGAUGCCGGACGCCAAGUGAUGAGAAAAGCUCACUUGGCCUUUCGGCCAGGUGAGCUAAAAAGGGU